GACGAACGCUGGCGGCGUGCUUAACACAUGCAAGUCGAACGCUGAAGCUCUGCCCUUGUGGUGGGGUGGAUGAGUGGCGAACGGGUGGGUAACACGUGGGUAAUCUGCCCCAUACUCUGGGAUAACCCCUGGAAACGGGGGCUAAUACCGGAUAGGACAUUCUGCCGCAUGGUGGGGUGUGGAAAGUUCCGGCGGUAUGGGAUGGGCCCGCGGCCUAUCAGCUUGUUGGUGGGGUAAUGGCCUACCAAGGCGACGACGGGUAGCCGGCCUGAGAGGGUGACCGGCCACACUGGGACUGAGACACGGCCCAG
rnacentral:rRNA from 1 species